GCUGGCGUAGCUUAGUGGUAAAGCAUCUGCAUGGUAAGUAGAAGACCGUGGGUUCAAUCCCCACCGCCAGCUCCA
rnacentral:tRNA from 1 species